GGUGGAUAAGUGGAGGGGUGUGGAUGGGGAUGGAUAGUUUAGAUAAAGUUGAUCCCUCUAUGUUGUCAGGUACUAUUUAGUGUCCAUAAGCGGAGAGGAAAUCUAGCCCAGACUGGCUGGCUCAGGGGGGCAGGGAAUGGGACGUGGGGGUCUUUCCCCUCUUGGGAACUAGAUUUGUUCCUGGAGGUUCAGUCUAUCAAUGAUAAUCCUGAUUAAUGGAUGGGCAGGGAUGGUGUCCUUAGCCUCUGUUUGCCAGAAGCUGGGAAUGGGUGGCAGGGGAUGGAUCACUUGAUGAUUCCCUGUUCUGUUCACUCCCUCUGGGGCACCUGGCACUGGCCGCUGUCGGCAUACAGGACACUAGGCUAGAUGGACCUUUGGUCUGACCCAGUCUGGCCGCUCUUAUGUUCCUAUGAUCCCGCCCCAGGCUGGUGCAUGGGGCUGGGGGAAGGGAUUCUUCCAUCCCUUUGCAUCCCAGACCCAGUCCAAAAGCUGCGGCUUCGGAGGUGCUCCCCAGAGGCAUCCUCCAUAUGGGGCAGCAGCAAGGGGUCGUCCCCCCAGGUACACAGUGACAGCUCUUCCUUCUCCGCUAGUCUAAGGAGAUCUGCUCCCUGGAGAGCCACUGACCCCAGGUAUGAGCGACGCCCAGCCUCCGACAAACGCCUCCUGAACAAGCCCGAGGGCUCCCUGGACCUGAACGUGGACUAUGCCAACAUUGACUUCACCAAACUGGCUACCAAGGACAGCUACACCCUGACGGAGGAGCUGGCAGAAUACGCAGAGAUCCGGGUCAAGUGAGCGCCCCCUGCCCCCCCCAAGUGACACACCCUCUGCCACGGAAACCACGCCCACCAGAAUCAGGACCUGUCUGUGCCCCCAAAUCACCAGGCACACCCCCGCCAUGGAAACCCCAUCUGCCGGGAUCAACCCCAUGCAGAGUGCAGGUCCUGCCCUGCCCAGCACUGGCAGGACACGCACCCUGCCAUGGAAACCCCACCCACUGCAAUCAGGACCUCCGACUGAAUGCAGCUGGGACAGGGGCUGUCUCUCGCUACGUGUCUGGGCAGCUUCUGGCACAAUGGGGCCCUGAUCUCAGCUGGGGCAGGGACUAUCUCUUGCUGUGUGUCUGGGCAGUGCCUCAUAUCCUGAUGCCCCUUCUUUGACAGCCCUAUGGCUGGUUAUGUGGGUCUGGCCCUGCACUGGGACCCAGGAAGACCUGCAGUUUAAAUCUCACCUAGGCUACAGAUUUUGUACUACCUUGAGGUCUGUCCUAACCUCUCUGCGUGCCUCAGUUUCCCCAAAUCUCUUAAUUUCCCCUGUGCACAAUGUGGUUUAUAAUUCCCUCCCACCCCGGGCUUUUGUGAGGCUAAAUUUGGAACCGAUUGGGAAGCUCAACCAAAGCCCCGUUGAAUCGUUAAUGAUCCCGUUGAGCUAUCUCUGUAGGAGCCACACAAGUACCUGUGUCGAUCCUCCCUAAACCCAUCCAGUCCUUGGUCUAAUUCCCCCAGUCUGUCUUUCCACGUGCCGAGGGAACAACAUCCUUUUUCUGCUGAGCAAAGACUUGUCUAUGGUACAAAGCUACUUAGAUCAGCACCGCCAUCCCCAGCCAGGAAGGGGAAUACACUAUCCUGGGAUAAAGACCCGUCCUACUGGGAUAACGGCCCUCACAGCUGUAUUGGUGUAGGCAGAUCAGCCCUGUCCUACUGGUAUAACUAGAUCAGUAGAAAAUCCCACGUCUAAUUGACAGUUAUUCUGGGAGGGGGGGUGGCUCAGAUGUAAAUCAGGAGCCCAAAAAACCCCACAGCUGUAAUCUUUGUUUCCCACUGGGAUAAACAGGUGCUCACGGUCUGGGUCCGACCUCCUGGAAUUCUGUGCUCCAUCGGCACCAGCCACCCUGGGGGGAAAUUUAUAACAAAUCGUCAUUUAUUUUUGGCGUCAUUUUUGUACAGAUAUUUGCCUGGUGAUAGAAAACGAAAUAAAUAAAAAGCCCAAACUAACA
rnacentral:lncRNA from 1 species